rnacentral:rRNA from 1 species
UGGGGAAUAUUGGACAAUGGGCGCAAGCCUGAUCCAGCAAUGCCGCGUGUGUGAAGAAGGCCUUCGGGUUGUAAAGCACUUUUAUCUGGAGCGAAAUCUGCAGGGCUAAUACCCAUGCAGUCUGACGGUACCAGAGGAAUAAGCACCGGCUAACUUCGUGCCAGCAGCCGCGGUAAUACGAAGGGUGCAAGCGUUACUCGGAAUUACUGGGCGUAAAGCGUGAGUAGGUGGUUUCUUAAGUCUGCUGUGAAAGCCCCGGGCUCAACCUCGGGCCUGCAGUGGGUACGGGCAGACUAGAGUGCGGUAGGGGAGAUUGGAAUUCCCGGUGUAGCAGUGAAAUGCGUAGAGAUCGGGAGGAACACCAGUGGCGAAGGCGACUAUCUGGACCAGCACUGACACUGGGGCACGAAAGCGUGGGGAGCAAACA